GGCCAUAGCUUAGUGGAAGGGUAUCUGCUUUGCACGCAGAAGUCCCCAGGUUCAUUCACCGGCAUCUCCA